AAACUGGAGAAAGCAGAGACUGAUGAUGUACAGAGUGCUCGCUGCAGCAGCAGUAACACAAGACAGGAGGUCAUAAACAGUUUGAACAGCAGCAGGCAGGAACCCUAACCCAGAUGCAAUUACAGAUGUCUGUACAUCCUUGCUGUGUGAAGACGGGUGAAAAGAAGAAGUUACAGG